rnacentral:rRNA from 1 species
GAUGAACGCUGGCGGCGUGCCUAAUACAUGCAAGUCGAGCGAACAGACGAGGAGCUUGCUCCUCUGACGUUAGCGGCGGACGGGUGAGUAACACGUGGAUAACCUACCUAUAAGACUGGGAUUACUUCGGGAAACCGGAGCUAAUACCGGAUAAUAUAUUGAACCGCAUGGUUCAAUAGUGAAAGACGGUUUUGCUGUCACUUAUAGAUGGAUCCGCGCCGCAUUAGCUAGUUGGUAAGGUAAAGGCUUACCAAGGCAACGAUGCGUAGCGGACCUGAGAGGGUGGUCGGACACACUGGAUCUGAGACACAGUCCAGACUCCUAGGGGAAGCAGCAGUAGGGAAUCUUACGCAAUGGGCGAAAGCCUGACAGAGCAACGCCGCGUGAGGGAUGAAGGUCUUCGGAUCGGAAAACUCUGUUAUUAGGGAAGAACAAAUGUGUAAGUAACUAUGCACGUCUUGACGGUACCUAAUCAGAAAGCCACGGCUAACUACGUG